UACCGCAUAACCCAACCUAUCUCGCUGCAUCUCAUUCUCCACUCCGCUGUCUCUUUCUCCGGUUAACCACCGGCGACAGAGGCACAGAGAACGGGGCUGAGACGCUGCGUUUGCCGAGUUAUAUUAUUUUGAAUGAAACAUGAAUAAUAAUAUUGUGUGGGACAAAAACGGGACCUGUUGUUGCGACAAUCGGAAACGUGCGCGUGUGAGGCGAAUAAUUUGAGUGUCGUUUCGGUGUUCUGAGUGCGUUUCACGCGGAUGGUGAAGGCGAGAGAUACAGCGUCCAUGGCACAGGAACACGGAAACGCCGCUCAGGAAGAGAGAAUCUUCGUUUCGAUCAGAGUAAGGCCUUUAAACGAGAGAGAAAAAGCGAGGCACGAUGUGUCCGAUUGGGAAUGCAUUUCUGGCAACACCAUCAGGUUCAAGAACAACGGCCAUGGAGAACCGCGACCUCUGUCAAUGGAUACCUACACCUUUGGUAAGGUGUUUGGGGAAAAGUACAAUACAAAACAGGUGUAUGAACAAGGGAUUAAGGAAGUUGCCCUUUCAGUGGUUAGGGGUGUCAACUCUAGCAUUUUCGCGUACGGGCAAACAAGCAGUGGAAAGACACACACCAUGACUGGGAUUACUGAAUAUGCAGUAAGGGAUAUAUAUGAAUACAUGGAGAAGCAUAAAGACAGAGAAUUUGUUGUCAAGUUCUCUGCCAUGGAGAUAUAUAAUGAAGCUGUCAGAGACCUUCUUAAUUCAGGUGCUACUUCACUAAGACUUCUAGAUGAUCCAGAGAAAGGGACAGUUGUUGAGAAACUCACAGAGGAGACACUGACAGAGAGGAGACAGUUGCAGCACCUCCUUUCGAUAUGUGCAGCUGAAAGGACAACGGAAGAGACAGCCAUGAAUGAAACUAGCUCCAGAUCUCACCAAAUUCUUCGAUUGACAGUUGAAAGUAAUCCUAGGGAUUAUGUAGACACCACAGGAUCUGGAGCUCUCGUUGCCAGUGUGAAUUUUGUUGAUCUAGCAGGAAGCGAGCGUGCUUCUCAAGCAUUGUCAGCAGGCGCAAGAUUCAGAGAAGGUAGCCACAUAAAUCGCAGUUUACUGAGCCUUGGAACUGUAAUUCGGAAACUAAGCAAGGGAAGAAAUGAACACGUACCUUACAGAGACUCUAAGCUUACUCGCAUUCUGCAGAACUCUUUAGGUGGUAAUGCCAGAACAGCGAUCAUUUGUACCAUUAGUCCUGCACGGAGCCAGGUUGAGCAAUCAAGAAAUACUCUGCUUUUUGCUAGUUGCGCCAAACAGGUGACUACUAAUGCUCGGGUCAAUCUAGUGAUGACAGACAAGGUUAUGAUAAGGCAACUGCAAAAGGAAUUGGCUAGAAUGGAGAAUGAGUUGAGGAGCUUCACCCCAAAUACCAUGUUACUUAAGGAGAGAGAACUUCGGAUUGAACAGAUGGAGAAAGAGAUCAAAGAAUUGACUCAGCAGCGUAAUCUCUUUCAAUCUCGUGUUGAAAAUUUGCUCGAGUCUGGUGGGAAUGAUCGACCUUCAGAAUCGUCAGGUGGUGUUAAUAAUCUUCUUAGUAGGACAGACAGCGCAUCAGAAAAUCUUGAAAGAACAACAGCUACUGAGAAUUCUGAAGACUACUUUCUUUUGGAUGGCACUUCUCCCACGUUUGCUGGGCCUGAUCCAUGCCAUGGUUGGGAGGCGAUGGCCAGCAAAGCAGAAUCUGAAAAUAACUGCAAGAAAUUGCCCUGUAUUGAAAUAAAAGAAGUGGAAACGGAGCACAAAACCGACGCUAAUACGCCCCCAACUCCUGUUUCUGGAGGAAAUACGCCUGUUCAAGUUGUCAACGAACAUGGUCUGCAGCGAAAAACUGAGAGCUCUCAAAAUACCAACGACUUUAUGGUGGACUUCUCAAAGAAAUCCAAUGGGUCCCCUGAAUCCGAACCACAUAUUUUGAAUGCCAUAUCUCCUCAAUCAGAUAAGGUGGAUCAGGAAACUUCAAAACGUCCUCAGAUCAGUAAUUUGGAGCAGAACGAGUCACCUCUGGAACCUGCCUCACCUCAUUUCGAUGUGCUGAAAAGGGUAUCGGUCUCAUUACCAGCUUUGGUCGAAAGGGAAAACUCUAAUAGUUCGGUUUGCUUUGAGGACAUGCCAUCUGAAUCGAAGUUACAAGCUAUAAAAAGCGAGUAUUCCAAAAAAUAUUCUCCAAUUCACAAGAGGGAUAUUUCAGUUGAAGACGUAGAAUCCUUUUACGAUUCUGAUGCGGAGGAUACUUCCAGCGUCCUCAACUUUGUUGUAAGAAUGAACGAAAGGGCUAAGCAAAAGCCAUUGAACAAGGACAUGGACGAUAUUAUGGUACGGGCAAGGACAUCUGGAUUCAAUAAACGUGUGAACAGAGUAAAAGAUGUUGGUUUCCAUGGAAAUGAGGGGGUUUUGACGCCUUAUAAUCUUGAGAGGCAGCAGAGAGAUACAAUCGAACUUUGGGAUGCAUGUAAUGUUCCAUUGGUACAUAGGUCCUAUUUUUUUCUUCUCAUCAAAGGUGAACUUUCGGAUUCUGUGUACUUUGAUGUAGAGCUCAGACGUUUGUCCUUCCUUAGGGACACUUUUUUUAGCGUAACAAACAUUACAGCACGUGGUACGGAUGUCACUCCUAAUUCAAGCCUGAUGUCACUGAAUCGUGAGAGGAAAAUGCUAAGUAAACAAGUGCAUAAGAAGUUCUCGAGGAAGGAAAGAGAGGAACUUUACACAAAGUGGGGUGUUGAUUUGAAGUCUAAGCACAGAAGUGUACAGUUGGCAUGGCGUUUAUGGACGAAAACAGAAGACUUGAACCACGCAAGGGAGAGUGCAGCACUUGUUGCGAAGCUAGUUGGUUUUAUACAAUCGGGUGAGCCCCAAAAGAAAUCAUUUGGAUUUGGCUUCUUAUCCCGUCUUAUGAUCAGGGAAUCUGAUGGUUGGAAGGACACAACGUCUACUGUUUUAUAGAGUCGAGACACAUUUCCGCAGUUACACUGACUUUACAUUCAGGUCGGUUCAAUUAGCGUUGCGGUCUUCCCACUUUUGCCUUAGGUUCUGUUUGUACAUUCAAAAUAAAUGCUGUUUUUUUCCCUGUUCCCAUUGACAUCACUCCAGCGGGGGGAAACAGAAAACUAUACAAAAAAUAUGAGAAAACUUAUACAAAAAAGAAAGAGGUGAAAAGAAAAAGAAAGGAAAAUGUAAAAUAAAAUGAGUAAUGCAAGUAGGAAAAAAAAAAUCUCUUUCUCAUUCGUUUAUUUUUUAUGGCAUUAUUUGUCAUAUUUACAUGACUGUGUCUAAAUUUGUUCAAGUCUUAUGUAAUAUUUUUAUUUAAGUUUUACUGUAAUAUUUAAUUAAUUUUUAUUUUAUUCUUUUAA